UUGUUUGCUUUUGUGGGUGAGAUGCGGACGUAAGGCGAGUAAAACAAUACAUUGCGACGUUGGCGUAAGAACCGCCUCUCAACAGUUAGCACCCGACGGCUAACUUCCAACUAGCAUAAAACGCUCGAGCUGCAUUUCGCCUUUAUCGACACUUCUCCAGAGCGAAGUGUGUGUCAUUUCCAGGCGGGCGUGUCGCCAUGUCGCAGAAGAAACGACCAUCCAGCUCUCAGAGGUCCUCGCAGGGCAAGAGACUCAGUGGUGCUUUGAGGGUGGAUGAAGAUGCGACAUUCACUCAGCCAAGCAUGUCCCAGGUCCAGAAAGGUCUGGAGAAGCUCUCACCUUCCCAGGUUAACCAGAAGACGGUUGAGGUGGUUCAGUAUUUCUUGGUGAAGGAUCAGAAGAAGAUUCCUAUUCGUAGAGGAGACCUGAUCAAACAUGUCAUCAAAGAGAACCGAAACAUCUAUCCUGAGAUAAUGAGGCGAGCGGCACACACCUUGGACCAGGUUUUUGGUCUGAAGCUGGUUGAAAUUGACACCAAAACUCACUUGUACAUCCUCAUCAACAAACUGGAAGCUGCUGCUGGAGGCCCGUCUCUCAGGUCCGCCAACCCAAAGACGGGUCUGCUCUUUUUGAUCUUGAGCGUCAUCUUCAUGAAAGGGGGCGUGGUCAGAGAAGGCCUAAUCUGGAACACGCUCAAGAAACUCAACAUUGACCCCGCUGACAGCCAUGAAUGCUUUGGAGACGUUAAGAAGCUGAUCACAGACGAGUUUGUGCGUCAAAGGUACUUGGAGUAUGUGCGUGUCCCUCACACCGACCCACCUGAGUACGAGCUUAGCUGGGGACAGCGUGCCGACGUGGAAGUGUCCAAGACUAAAAUCCUUGAGUUCAUGGGUCAAGCACAUGGAGUCUCAGGACGGUCGGCGUGAUUAUGGCUCAGAUUGGUUUCCGUCACGACUUCCAACGAAUUAGCACAGCAGACUAAAGCAUCAAACGGGCCACGCGAUUUAAGCGGGGCCAGGACUGCAGCUUCACCAUGGUAACUGAUGCCCCGCCUCUGGAUCGAUUACUUAAAUUAUCUGGGAGCAACUAAAUGAGGAUUUUCAUGCAGGAAGUACGCCAGCAGGCAUCUCAUCACCGCCUGGUGACAGACGACCAAGACGUUCUCCUGCCUCUCCAGCUCCAUGAUGACCGGCUCCAAGCGCUGGACCAGGUCCUCGUAAGACUGGUUAGCACGCGCGAACACAACCACAAAUAUGGUACAUCA